rnacentral:rRNA from 1 species
GGUUAAGCGACUAAGCGUACACGGUGGAUGCCCUGGCAGUCAGAGGCGAUGAAGGACGUGCUAAUCUGCGAUAAGCGUCGGUAAGGUGAUAUGAACCGUUAUAACCGGCGAUUUCCGAAUGGGGAAACCCAGUGUGAUUCGUCACACUAUCAUUAACUGAAUCCAUAGGUUAAUGAGGCGAACCGGGGGAACUGAAACAUCUAAGUACCCCGAGGAAAAGAAAUCAACCGAGAUUCCCCCAGUAGCGGCGAGCGAACGGGGAGCAGCCCAGAGCCUGAAUCAGUGUGUGUGUUAGUGGAAGCGUCUGGAAAGGCGCGCGAUACAGGGUGACAGCCCCGUACACAAAAAUGCACAUACUGUGAGCUCGAUGAGUAGGGCGGGACACGUGGUAUCCUGUCUGAAUAUGGGGGGGCCAUCCUCCAAGGCUAAAUACUCCUGACUGACCGAUAGUGAACCAGUACCGUGAGGGAAAGGCGAAAAGAACCCCGGCGAGGGGAGUGAAAAAGAACCUGAAACCGUGUACGUACAAGCAGUGGGAGCCUCUUUAUGGGGUGACUGCGUACCUUUUGUAUAAUGGGUCAGCGACUUAUAUUCUGUAGCAAGGUUAACCGAAUAGGGGAGCCGAAGGGAAACCGAGUCUUAACUGGGCGUUAAGUUGCAGGGUAUAGACCCGAAACCCGGUGAUCUAGCCAUGGGCAGGUUGAAGGUUGGGUAACACUAACUGGAGGACCGAACCGACUAAUGUUGAAAAAUUAGCGGAUGACUUGUGGCUGGGGGUGAAAGGCCAAUCAAACCGGGAGAUAGCUGGUUCUCCCCGAAAGCUAUUUAGGUAGCGCCUCGUGAAUUCAUCUCCGGGGGUAGAGCACUGUUUCGGCAAGGGGGUCAUCCCGACUUACCAACCCGAUGCAAACUGCGAAUACCGGAGAAUGUUAUCACGGGAGACACACGGCGGGUGCUAACGUCCGUCGUGAAGAGGGAAACAACCCAGACCGCCAGCUAAGGUCCCAAAGUCAUGGUUAAGUGGGAAACGAUGUGGGAAGGCCCAGACAGCCAGGAUGUUGGCUUAGAAGCAGCCAUCAUUUAAAGAAAGCGUAAUAGCUCACUGGUCGAGUCGGCCUGCGCGGAAGAUGUAACGGGGCUAAACCAUGCACCGAAGCUGCGGCAGCGACGCUUAUGCGUUGUUGGGUAGGGGAGCGUUCUGUAAGCCUGUGAAGGUGUACUGUGAGGUAUGCUGGAGGUAUCAGAAGUGCGAAUGCUGACAUAAGUAACGAUAAAGCGGGUGAAAAGCCCGCUCGCCGGAAGACCAAGGGUUCCUGUCCAACGUUAAUCGGGGCAGGGUGAGUCGACCCCUAAGGCGAGGCCGAAAGGCGUAGUCGAUGGGAAACAGGUUAAUAUUCCUGUACUUGGUGUUACUGCGAAGGGGGGACGGAGAAGGCUAUGUUGGCCGGGCGACGGUUGUCCCGGUUUAAGCGUGUAGGCUGGUUUUCCAGGCAAAUCCGGAAAAUCAAGGCUGAGGCGUGAUGACGAGGCACUACGGUGCUGAAGCAACAAAUGCCCUGCUUCCAGGAAAAGCCUCUAAGCAUCAGGUAACAUCAAAUCGUACCCCAAACCGACACAGGUGGUCAGGUAGAGAAUACCAAGGCGCUUGAGAGAACUCGGGUGAAGGAACUAGGCAAAAUGGUGCCGUAACUUCGGGAGAAGGCACGCUGAUAUGUAGGUGAAGUCCCUCGCGGAUGGAGCUGAAAUCAGUCGAAGAUACCAGCUGGCUGCAACUGUUUAUUAAAAACACAGCACUGUGCAAACACGAAAGUGGACGUAUACGGUGUGACGCCUGCCCGGUGCCGGAAGGUUAAUUGAUGGGGUUAGCGGUAACGCGAAGCUCUUGAUCGAAGCCCCGGUAAACGGCGGCCGUAACUAUAACGGUCCUAAGGUAGCGAAAUUCCUUGUCGGGUAAGUUCCGACCUGCACGAAUGGCGUAAUGAUGGCCAGGCUGUCUCCACCCGAGACUCAGUGAAAUUGAACUCGCUGUGAAGAUGCAGUGUACCCGCGGCAAGACGGAAAGACCCCGUGAACCUUUACUAUAGCUUGACACUGAACAUUGAGCCUUGAUGUGUAGGAUAGGUGGGAGGCUUUGAAGUGUAGACGCCAGUCUGCAUGGAGCCGACCUUGAAAUACCACCCUUUAAUGUUUGAUGUUCUAACGUUGACCCGUAAUCCGGGUUGCGGACAGUGUCUGGUGGGUAGUUUGACUGGGGCGGUCUCCUCCUAAAGAGUAACGGAGGAGCACGAAGGUUGGCUAAUCCUGGUCGGACAUCAGGAGGUUAGUGCAAUGGCAUAAGCCAGCUUGACUGCGAGCGUGACGGCGCGAGCAGGUGCGAAAGCAGGUCAUAGUGAUCCGGUGGUUCUGAAUGGAAGGGCCAUCGCUCAACGGAUAAAAGGUACUCCGGGGAUAACAGGCUGAUACCGCCCAAGAGUUCAUAUCGACGGCGGUGUUUGGCACCUCGAUGUCGGCUCAUCACAUCCUGGGGCUGAAGUAGGUCCCAAGGGUAUGGCUGUUCGCCAUUUAAAGUGGUACGCGAGCUGGGUUUAGAACGUCGUGAGACAGUUCGGUCCCUAUCUGCCGUGGGCGCUGGAGAACUGAGGGGGGCUGCUCCUAGUACGAGAGGACCGGAGUGGACGCAUCACUGGUGUUCGGGUUGUCAUGCCAAUGGCACUGCCCGGUAGCUAAAUGCGGAAGAGAUAAGUGCUGAAAGCAUCUAAGCACGAAACUUGCCCCGAGAUGAGUUCUCCCUGACUCCUUGAGAGCCCUGAAGGAACGUUGAAGACGACGACGUUGAUAGGCCGGGUGUGUAAGCGCAGCGAUGCGUUGAGCUAACCGGUACUAAUGAACCGUGAGGCUUAACCUU